AAUCGGCUCCCCCUUGCCCAUUUGUGGUCAUGAGAACAACAACCUCUUCCCCAACAUCAGUGCCAUUCAAACCGGAGCAACAAUCAUAAGCUUGGCACCAUGGCAGGUACCAUUAAAAGCUUUACAAUUUUCUCGACUUGGCUCCCGUGUUCAGCCUAGGUGGCAAGAUAUUGCUGACGUUUAACACAACAGCAAAAACGAAGAAUUGUACUAGUACAUCAUAAUACACAUGGUUUCCAUAAUUACACUCUUCUCAUACACGAAAAAUAUUAGGCCAACUUUCAACAGGUUGCUGUACUAUCUUUUUCAUGGCAUCUGCUUAUCCCCUCCCAAAGGAGAUCAGAUCCCUUAUUCACAGACUGACGCUUCAAUGCCAGGCCUGUUCUGUUAUUAUUGUAUCUUCUUGAUUAACAUCUGCAUAUAUCUCCUUCCGAAGGAGAUGAGAUCCCUCACUCACAGCUGCUUCUUAGCCAGAUCUUUGUUCUGCUCAAUGUACGGGUAGGCUCUCUGGUACUGCAGUAUCGCCCAGACGAGGUGCCUCCAGGAGAACUCAGGCCAGAGGGGGUCUGGGUUCUGCAGAUGGCUAAACGUCGUCUGCCACAGGAGGAAGUUGCUCAGCCGGGUCUCGCCCGAGGUCCGGAUCACGAUGUCCGGGUCUGGGCAGCCGGCGGUGUACAUGUGGCGAUCCAGGUCGGACACCGAGAUAUCCGAACAUGUGGCGAUCCAGGUCGGACACCGAGAUAUCCGGACACCGAUACUGCUUCGAUACGCGUAUCCCCUUUU
rnacentral:lncRNA from 1 species